UACGGAGGAUGCAAGCGUUAUCCGGAAUUAUUGGGCGUAAAGCGUCCGCAGGUGGCUGUUCAAGUCUGCUGUCAAAGCGCAGAGCUUAACUCUGUACAGGCGGUGGAAACUGAAGAGCUAGAGUAUGGUAGGGGUAGAGGGAAUUCCCGGUGUAGCGGUGAAAUGCGUAGAUAUCUGGAGGAACACCGGUGGCGAAGGCGGCAUCCUGGACCAAUACUGACGCUGAGGAGCGAAAGCCAGGGGAGCAAACGGG
rnacentral:rRNA from 1 species